AACCUAACGUCGAGUUAAGGUGCCUAAAUGCACGCUAAUCAGAGAACAAAAGGGUGUUGCUCGGUGAAGACAGUUGGACUGUGGUCAUGGAAGUUGUCACCAGCUAAGGAGUGUGUAAAAACUCACCAGCCGAACCGAUGUAGCCCCGAAAAUUGAUGGCGCUGAAGUGUGCUACCGAUACUCGACCAUUGUUACAAAUAUGAAGUAGCAAUGUGUAAGAGGGCGUAAGGGUAGUGUAGAAGCCUAUUG
rnacentral:rRNA from 1 species